rnacentral:lncRNA from 10 species
CCCGUCUGUACUAAAAAUACAAAAAACAAACAAACAAACAAAAAAAUUUAGCCGGGCAUGGUGGUGCGUGCCUGUAAUUCCAGUUACUCAGGAGGCUGAAGCAGGAGAAUUGCUUGAACCCGGGAGGCGGAAGUUGCAGUGAGCUGAGAUUGCACCAUUGCACUCCAGCCUUGGCGGCAAGAGCAAAACUCCAUCUCAAAAAAAAAAGAAAAAGAGAAAAAAGAUAUAGAAGGAACAAAUGACUACUUGGUUACCAACUAUUUUAGUUGUAUUUUGUAUAGUACUAUAUUAUAAAUCUAUGUUCACAUCUAACACAGGCAUGAGUGGAAGGCAGGCAUACAACAUCCUCUUAAACACUUCUAUUAAUGGAGUAUUCAGCACAUCACAAAGUAGCUUUAUGGAUAGCUUGGCUUCUGAAUUUUUUUAAACUAUUAAGUAACAUUAAUAAUUUCCUUUAUUCUAUGUGCACAGAACACCGGCAAUAAAGAUUUCAUUCAUUUACUCAAAAAUAUUUACUGGUUGCCUUUUUGGGGACAGGUACUUUAUGACUUUAUGACAUAGUUACAAUGGUAAAGUAACAAAAUUUCAUUUCAUACCAUCAAGUGUUUAAAAUUAAAAUAAGUAUUUUAGAUGUAGAUAAAUAUGUUUUUCUAAAAAUCACCAAACAGGAUAUAAGUAAUUUAUUUGAUCAUGGCAUUUUAUCACAUACUAUAACAAGAUCUAUUUAUCACAUACUAUAACAAGAUCUAUUCCCAGUAUCUAGAAAGCAAGCCAACGGGCCGGGCGCAGUGGCUCACGUCUGUAAUCCGAGCACUUUGGGAGGCCGAGGUAGGUAGAUUAUGAGCACAAGAGAUCGAGACCAUCCUGGCAAACAUGGUGAAAUCCUGUCUCUACUAAAAAUAAAAAAAUUAGCUGGGGGUGGUUGGCGUGCGACUGUAGUCCCAGCUACUCGGCAGGCUGAGGCAGGAGAAUUACUUGAACCUGAGAGGGGGAGGUUGCAGUGAGCUGAGAUUGCACCACUGCACUCCAGCCUGGUGACAGAGGGAGACUCGGUCUCAAAAAAAAAAAAAAAAAAAAAAAAAGACAGCCACCGAACUGUAAACCAAUUAAAUUGGGAGUAGAACUGGAAGAGUGUGAUUUAUUACCUUGUUUAUAGCCUGAAUCUCUUACAAAAAUGAAGUAAUAAAGGUAUAUGUUUAACAUGUAUUUAUUUAUUUAUUUGAGGGUUGUGCUUUGUCACCUAGGCUGGAGUGCAGUGGCAUGAUCAUGGCUCACUGCAACCUCUACCUCCUGGGCUCAAGCAAUCCUCCCACCUCAGCCUCCUGAGUAGUUGGGACUACAGGUGUGCGCCAGCACACCUGGCUAAUUUUUGUAUUUUUUGUAGAGAUGCAGUUUCGCCAUGUUGCCUAGGCUAGUCUCAAACACCUGGACUCACCCAAUAAGCCUGACUUGGCCUCUCCAAGUGUUGGGAUUACAGGCAUGAGCCACCACACCCAGCUGGAAAAUGUUUAAAAUUUAUUAAGUGAAAAGUAACUCAUGCUGCAAUGAACGUACUAUGUAAAAAUGUAUGUAUGUGGAACAGGGAAAAAUAUAAACAGUCACAGAAAUGUGUUUAGGUUGGUAGCAUUCUUUUUCCUCUUAAAAAUUCCUUUUUUUGGCCGGGCGCUGUGGCUCACACCUGUAAUCCCAGCACUUUGGGAAGCCGCGGUGGACAGAUCACAAGGUCAGGAGAUCAAGACCAUCCUGGCUAACAUGGUGAAACCCCGUCUCUACUAAAAAUACAAAAAAUUAGCUGGGCAUGGAGGCACUCGCCUGUAGUCGCAGCUACUCGGGAGGCUGAGGCAGGAGAAUCGCUUGAACUGGGGAGAUGGAGGUUGUAGUGAGCCCAGAUCAUGCCACUGCACUCAAGCCUGGGCUGAGACCUCCAGAGUCUGGCUGAGACCUAUGGAGUCUCACUCUGUCACCUAGGCUGGAGUACAGUGGUGCGAUCUCGGCACACUGCAACCUCCACCUCCCAGACAUUCUCCUGCCUCAGCCUCUCAACUAGCUGGGAUUACAUUCGCCCGCCUCCACACCCACUAAUUUUUGUAUUUUUAGUAGAGAUGCGGUUUCCCCAUGUUGGCCAGGCUGUUCUUGAACUCCUGACCUCAAGUUAUACGCCCACUUUGGACUCCCAAAGUGCUGGGAUUACAGGUGUGAGCCACGGCACCAGCCAAAAAUUUCUUUAAAUAUUAGUGGUAUAUUAUUCUCUCAAUAAGUUUUUUUUUUUUUUUUUUUUGAGACAGUCUUGUUUUAUUGCCUAAGCUGGAGUGCAGUGGCACAAUCUCAACUCACUGCAACCUCCACCUCCCAGGUUUAUUUUUUUUCUCAUGCCUCAGCCUCCCAAGAAGCUGGGAUUACAGGCAUGUGCCCCAAAGGCCAGUUAAGUUUUCUUUUUCUUUUUUUCUUUUUUCUUGGUUGAGACGGAUUUUCGCUCGUCACCCACACUGGAGUGCAAUGGCGCGAUCUCGGCUCACUGCAACCUCCGACUCUUGGGUUCAAGCGAUUCUCCUGCCUCAGCCUCCCGAGUAGCUGGGAUUAGAGGCACCUGUCACCACGCCCGCUACUUUUGGUAUUUUUAGUAGAGAUGGAGUUUCACCACGUUGGCCAGGCUGAUCUCAAACUCCUGGCCUCAAGUGAUUCACCUGCCUUGGCCUCCCAAAGUGCUGGAAUUACAGGCCCGGCCUAUUUUUGCAAUAAUUAUGAAUAGCACACCAUUUAAACCUGUUGAUUGAGCCCUCCUUAAAUAACUAAAUACACUACUGGCCAACAUGGUGAAAACCUGUCUCCACUAAAAACACAAAAAAAUGGCCGGGCACAGUGGCUCAUGCCUGUAAUCCCAGCACUUCAGGAGGCCAAGGGGUGUGAAUCACCUGAGGUUAGGAGUUCAAGACCAGCCUGGCCAACAUGGUGAAACCCUGUCUCUACUAAAAAAAAAUACAAAAAUUAGCUGAGUGUAGUGGCACAUACCCGUAGUCUCAGCUACUCAGGAGGCUGAGGCAGGAGAAUUGCUUGAACCUGGGAGGCAGGGGUUGCAGUGAGCCAAGAUCGUGCCACCACACUCCAGCCUGGGUGACACAGCGAGACUCCAUCUCAAAAUAAAUAAAUAAAUAAAAAGAAAGGGACCGAGCGCGGUGGCUCAUGCUUGUAAUCCCAGCACUCUGGGAGGCUGAGUUGGGCAGAUCACAAGGUCAAGAGUUCAGGACCAGCCUGACCAACACGGUAAAACCCCAUCUCUACUAAAAAUACAAAAAUGAGCUGGGUGUGAUGGCACGCGCCUGUAACCCCAGUUACUCAAAAGGCUGAGGCAAGAGAAUCGCUUGAACCUGGGAGGCAGAGGUUGCAGUGAGCCGAGAUCACGCCACUGCAUUCCAGCCUGGUGACAGUGAGACUCUGUCACACACACACAAAAAAGAUAAAGAAUGACAAAAAUCUGUGCCUACAUUCAGAGUGACAAGAAUACUAAUGUUCUGCUUGUAGAAAAGACUAUUGGUUCAGAAUAUGUUAAAUGCAAAUAAUAUUUUGUAUAAUAUAUAUAAAUUACAUAUGCAUAAAAAGAGUAUCUAUAUUAGAAUCUUUUGAGACAGGGUCUUGCUCUGUCAACCAUGAGGGAGUGCAGUGGCACUACCACAGCUCACUGUAGCCUUGACUUCCUGAGCUCAAGCCAUCCUCUCGCCUCAGCCUCCUGAAUAGUUGGGACUGCAGGUGGUGCCACCAAGGCUGGCUAAGUUUUUAUAUUUUUUUAUAGAAACAAGCUUUUGCCACGUUGCCCAGGCUGGUCUCAAACUUCUAAAAGCUCAAGCAAUCUGGCCGCCUUGAACUCCCAAAGUGCUUGAGUUAUAGGCAUGAGUCACUGUGCCCGGCCUACAUUAGAAUCUUAACAGUGGGGCUGGGCAUGGUGCCCCAUGCCUGUAAUCCCAGCACUUUGGGAGGUCAAGGUGGGCAGACUACUUGAGGUUGAGGAGUUCGAGGCCAGCCUGGCCAACAUGGUGAAACCCCAUCUGUACUAAAAACACAAAAAUUAGCCAGGUGUGGUGGCACAUGUUUGCAAUCCCAGCUACUUGGGAGGCUGAGGCGGGAGGAUCACUUGAACCUGGGAAGCAGAGGUUGCAGUGAGCCGAGAUGGUGCCAUGGCACUCCAGCCUGGGCAAUAGACAGCGGGACUCAGUCUCAAAACAAAAAAAAAAAAAAAAAAAAAAGAAUCUUAACAGUGGUUAACUUCAAAUAGUGAAACUAUGACUGUUAACUGAGUUUGACAUUUUUGUGUUUUCCUAGAUUUUUCUACAAUAAACAUUAUUAUUUCAUAAUAAAGCAGUAAAGACUUUUUAUACAAACUAUUUUAAGAUAAACAAAUUUUGACAUAGGGGUUAUAAGUUAGGUAGAAUCUAUUUAUAUAAAAAAUGGAACUGUACUUUUGUGGGCCAAAUAAGCACUAUGUAAGUUUUUUUAAUUUUCCCAAACACAUGCACAGAAUUAAUAUUGCCUUAAAUUUUGUUAGCACAAGUUUGAGAGAGCUCUUUAGUUCAUAAAAAAAUGUUUUAUGGACCAGGUGCCGUGGCUCACACCUGCAAUCUCAACACUUUGGGAGGCCCAGGUGGGAGGAUCGCUUGAGCCUAGGAGUUUGAGACAAGACUGGGCGACGCAGGGAGACCCUGUCUCAAAAAAACAAAACCAAAAACAAGCAAACAAAAAAACAGCUGGGCAUGGUGGCAUGCAUAUGUAGUCCCAGCUAUUCUAGAGGCUGAGGUGAGAUCGCUGGAGCCCAGGAGGUGGAGGCUACAGUAAGCUGUGAUCAUGCCAAUGCACUCCAGCUUGGUCAACAAAGCAAGACUGUGCCUCAAAAAAAAAAAAGAAAAGAAAAGAAAGAAAGAAAAGAAAAAGAAAAAAAGUUAUGUACGUAUGGUUUUUUUUUUUUUUUGGAUAGAGUUUCACUCUUCUUGCCCAGGCUGGAGUGCAAUGGUGCAAUCUUGGCUCACCACAACCUUCCCCUACUGGGUUCAAGCGAUUCUCCUGUUUCAGCCUCCCCAGUAGCUGGGAUUAAAGGCAUGUGCCACCACGCCCGGCUAAUUUUGUAUUUUUAGUAGAGAUGAAGUUUCUCCAUGUUGGUCAGGCUGGUCUUGAACUCCUGACUUCAGGUGAUCUGCCCGCCUCAGCCUCCCAAAGUGCUGGGAUUACAGGUGUGAGCCACCUCGCCUGGCCGUUUUUUUUUUUUUUUUUUUUUUCUGAGACGGAGUUUUGCUCUUAUUGCCCAGGCUGGAGUGCAAUGGCACGAUCUCGGCUCAUCGCAACCUCUGCCUCACGGGUUCAAGCAAUUUUCCUGCCUCAGCGUCUCAAGUAGCUAGGAUUACAGGGAUGCUCCAUCAUGCCCGGCUAAUUUUGUAUUUUUGGUAGAGACAGGGUUUCUCCAUGUUGGUCAGGCUGGUCUCAAACUCCCAACCUCAGGUGAUUUACCCGCCUUGGCCUCCCAAAGAGCUGGGAUUACAGGUGUGAGCCACUGUGCCCGGCCAUGCUUAUGUUUUUUAACAAUACACUUCUGAACUAUCAAAAAGAAUAUAAAUCAAAAUCACUGAAGUAGUUUUUAAAAACUCCAAAAGCUACAAAACUUACUUACUUCAAUAUCAAUUAAAAACCCAUUUGAUAGUUCAAUAACUUGAGUCCUGCUAGAAUCAUUCUAUAAGCCAUCAGUGACAGUGAAGUGGCCAAAAUUUGAGUCACUUGAUAAGUACAAAGAACACAGAUUUUU